rnacentral:rRNA from 1 species
CCUACGGGGGGCUGCAGUGGGGAAUAUUGGACAAUGGGGGCAACCCUGAUCCAGCCAUGCCGCGUGUGUGAAGAAGGCCCUCGGGUUGUAAAGCACUUUCAGUGAGGAAGAACGCCUGGUGGUUAAUACCCAUCAGGAAAGACAUCACUCACAGAAGAAGCACCAGCUAACUCCGUGCCAGCAGCCGCGGUAAUACGGAGGGUGCGAGCGUUAAUCGGAAUUACUGGGCGUAAAGCGCGCGUAGGUGGCUUGAUAAGCCGGUUGUGAAAGCCCCGGGCUCAACCUGGGAACGGCAUCCGGAACUGGCAAGCUAGAGUGCAGGAGAGGAAGGUAGAAUUCCCGGUGUAGCGGUGAAAUGCGUAGAGAUCGGGAGGAAUACCAGUGGCGAAGGCGGCCUUCUGGACUGACACUGACACUGAGGUGCGAAAGCGUGGGUAGCAAACAGGAUUAGAUACCCGGGUAGUC